rnacentral:rRNA from 1 species
UACGUAGGGGGCAAGCGUUGUCCGGAUUUAUUGGGCGUAAAGAGCGUGUAGGCGGCCAUGUAGGUCCGUUGUGAAAACUCGAGGCUCAACCUCGAGACGUCGGUUGAAACCGUAUGGCUAGAGUCCGGAAGAGGAGAGUGGAAUUCCCGGUGUAGCGGUGAAAUGCGCAGAUAUCGGGAAGAACACCUAUGGCGAAGGCAGCUCUCUGGGACGGUACUGACGCUGAGACGCGAAAGCGUGGGGAGCAAACAGG